GAUGAAGAACGCAGUGAAAUGCGAUACGUAAUGUGAAUUGCAGAAUUCAGUGAAUCAUCGAGUCUUUGAACGCACAUUGCGCCCCCUGGUAUUCCGGGGGGCAUGCCUGUCCGAGCGUCAUCGCUGCCCUCAAGCCCGGCUUGUGUGUUGGGUCUCGUCCCCCUUCCCGGGGGGACGGGCCCGAAAGGCAGCGGCGGCACCGUGUCCGGUCCUCGAGCGUAUGGGGCUUUGUCACCCGCUCUGUAGGCCCGGCCGGCGCUUGCCGAUCAACCAAAACUUUUUUCCAGGUUGACCUCGGAUCAGGUAGGGAUACCCGCUGAACUUAAGCAUAUCAAUAAGCGGAGGA
rnacentral:misc_RNA from 1 species